ACAUAUAUAUAUAAAAGAAACCUUGCACUGAUUUUGUUAGAUUUAUUCCUAAGUAUCCUUCCUCUUUUUUGAUUUGUCAUUGCUAUUGUAGAUGGUAUCUUUUUAAGAAGUUAUAUUUUCUAAAGAAAAAAUAACAAAAAAAUUGUAUUUUCUCAUUUUUAUUGCCAAUAUAUAGGAAUGUAAUUUAAUUUUCCAUAAUUAUCUUAUGUCUAGCAAUAAUUCUGAUAAUUUGCUUCUUCCUAUUAAAACCUUAUACCCAUUAUUGAUUUAUUUUUCUAUUUUAAAAUAUCUUCCUGCACUGGCUAAAACCUCCACUAUAAUGUUGAGCAGGACAGUGAGCAUCCUUAGAACCAUCUCGGUUGCAAAGGAAACCUCCUGCAAAGCCUUUAAAGGAUCCUUUCAAAUGUGGUCAUUCCCACAGGCAGAGUUAGCUGUUCCCUGGAACUGGGCAUGGAGGAGGUGCUCGGGGUGAACGCUCUCCCAACGGGGCCAACAUGUCAUACAGGAGCCGGCACCCAGACAACAACCCGGCCCACGGCCCCUUCAACACCUGCUGUGGUACUGCGGAGCAUCCCCCUUUGGACCCCACUACUCUUCGGAGA